rnacentral:rRNA from 1 species
GAUGAACGCUGGCGGCGUGCCUAAUACAUGCCAGUAGAACGCUGAAGGAGGAGCUUGCUCUUUCCGGAUGAGUUGCGAACGGGUGAGUAACGCGUAGGUAACCUGCCUGGUAGCGGGGGAUAACUAUUGGAAACGAUAGCUAAUACCGCAUAACAGUAGAUAUUGCAUGAUAUUUGCUUGAAAGGGGCAAUUGCUCCACUACCAGAUGGACCUGCGUUGUAUUAGCUAGUUGGUGAGGUAACGGCUCACCAAGGCGACGAUACAUAGCCGACCUGAGAGGGUGAUCGGCCACACUGGGACUGAGACACGGCCCAGACUCCUACGGGAGGCAGCAGUAGGGAAUCUUCGGCAAUGGACGGAAGUCUGACCGAGCAACGCCGCGUGAGUGAAGAAGGUUUUCGGAUCGUAAAGCUCUGUUGUAAGAGAAGAACGAGUGUGAGAGUGGAAAGUUCACACUGUGACGGUAUCUUACCAGAAAGGGACGGCUAACUACGUG